AUGGACAAGAGGGUGCCCACUCACUUUCUGGGCCUCUUGCUGCUCUGGGUCCCAGGUGCCAGAUGUGACAUCCAGUUGACACAGCCUCCUUCUGCAUCUGCAUCUGUGGGAGACACCGUCAAGAUCAGUUGCCAGGCCAGUCAGAGUGCUAGCAGUUACUUAAACUGGUAUCAGCAGAAACCAGGGCAAGCUCCUAAAUGCCUGAUCUAUGGUGCCACCAAUUUGGAGUCUGGAGUCUCAACUAGGUUCAGUGGCAGUGGAUCUGGGACAGAUUUCACUCUCACCAUUAGCAGCCUGCGGCCGGAAGAUUUUGCAGUUUAUUACUGUGAGUAGCACCAGAGUUGGCCUCCCACUGUGAUAUAAGCCAUGACAUAAACCUCCCUGAGUGGCACAAGUGUGAGACUGGGCUGUCCAGCUGCUCCUCUUUGUGUCUGCA